CAGUCGCCACGGUAAUACGAGGGGAGCUAGCGUUGUUCGGAAUUACUGGGCGUAAAGCGCGCGUAGGCGGCUUUUUAAGUCAGAGGUGAAAGCCCGGGGCUCAACCCCGGAAUUGCCUUUGAAACUGGAAAGCUAGAAUCUUGGAGAGGUCAGUGGAAUUCCGAGUGUAGAGGUGAAAUUCGUAGAUAUUCGGAAGAACACCAGUGGCGAAGGCGACUGACUGGACAAGUAUUGACGCUGAGGUGCGAAAGCGUGGGGAGCAAGCAGGAUUAGAUACCCGCGUAGUCCCUGUCUCUUAUAA
rnacentral:rRNA from 1 species